rnacentral:rRNA from 1 species
UACGAAGGACCCGAGCGUUAUCCGGAUUUACUGGGUUUAAAGGGUGCGUAGGUGGACCUAUAAGUCAGUGGUGAAAUCCUGCAGCUUAACUGCAGAACUGCCAUUGAUACUGUUGGUCUUGAGUAUAAUUGAGGUAGGCGGAAUAUGUCAUGUAGUGGUGAAAUACUUAGAUAUGACAUAGAACACCGAUUGCGAAGGCAGCUUGCUAAGCUAUAACUGACACUGAUGCACGAAAGCGUGGGGAGCAAACAGG